rnacentral:rRNA from 1 species
GAUGAACGCUGGCGGCGUGCUCAACACAUGCAAGUCGAACGAUGAAGCCCAGCUUGCUGGGUGGAUUAGUGGCGAACGGGUGAGUAACACGUGAGUAACCCGCCCUUAACUCUGGGAUAAGCCUGGGAAACUGGGUCUAAUACCGGAUAGGAGCGUCCACCGCAUGGUGGGUGUUGGAAAGAUUUAUCGGUUUUGGAUGGACUCGCGGCCUAUCAGCUUGUUGGUGAGGUAAUGGCUCACCAAGGCGACGACGGGUAGCCGGCCUGAGAGGGUGACCGGCCACACUGGGACUGAGACACGGCCCAGACUCCUACGGGAGGCAGCAGUGGGGAAUAUUGCACAAUGGGCGCAAGCCUGAUGCAGCGACGCCGCGUGAGGGAUGACGGCCUUCGGGUUGUAAACCUCUUUCAGUAGGGAAGAAGCGAAAGUGACGGUACCUGCAGAAGAAGCACCGGCUAACUACGUG